GACGAACGCUGGCGGCGUGCUUAACACAUGCAAGUUGAACGGAAAGGCCCCUUUGGGGGUACUCGAGUGGCGAACGGGUGAGUAACACGUGAGUAACCUGCCCUUGACUUCGGGAUAACUUCAGGAAACUGGGGCUAAUACCGGAUAGGAAUCCUUGCUGCAUGGUGGGGGUUGGAAAGCUUCGGCGGUUUUGGAUGGACUCGCGGCUUAUCAGCUUGUUGGUGGGGUAGUGGCUUACCAAGGCUUUGACGGGUAGCCGGCCUGAGAGGGCGACCGGCCACAUUGGGACUGAGAUACGGCCCAGACUCCUACGGGAGGCAGCAGUGGGGAAUAUUGCACAAUGGGCGGAAGCCUGAUGCAGCAACGCCGCGUGCGGGAUGACGGCCUUCGGGUUGUAAACCGCUUUCAGCAGGGGCGAAGCUUGUGGUGACGGUACCUGCAGAAGAAGCACCGGCUAACUACGU
rnacentral:rRNA from 1 species